CAGUAGCCGCGGUAAUACAGAGGGUGCGAGCGUUAAUCGGAUUUACUGGGCGUAAAGCGUGCGUAGGCGGCUUCUUAAGUCGGAUGUGAAAUCCCUGAGCUUAACUUAGGAAUUGCAUUCGAUACUGGGAAGCUAGAGUAUGGGAGAGGAUGGUAGAAUUCCAGGUGUAGCGGUGAAAUGCGUAGAGAUCGGGAGGAACAUCAGUGGCGAAGGCGGCCAUCUGGGACAACACUGACGCUGAGGCACGAAAGCGUGGGGAGCAAACAGGAUUAGAUACCCGUGUAGUCCCUGUCUCUUAUAC
rnacentral:rRNA from 1 species